rnacentral:lncRNA from 1 species
AGAUAUGCAGGCAGAGUAUGUCAUCCAUGAGGUGGGUGGCUUCUCCUGAGGUCUUUGAUUGUGGAGAGCUUUUGACUCUUCUUACUCAAUUCUGGCACUGCUGGCUAUGAAAAUAGGUGCAGAGAGUUUGCCGUCUUUGGGGACUUUUCUACCUCACAUUCAUUGAACCUUUGCACUUGAGUCCUUCCAUAAAAAUUCAAUGCUAACACUGAUAAGCAAAAUCUCAGCUGUACAGAGCCAGGGGAAAAUUAAUUACUGCAUAUAGUUGAGGUUCCAUAUUAAUUGAAAGAGCUGACCCAGCUAAUGUAAGUAUAUUUUUUCAAUUUAAACAUUUUUGAAGAGACUUUCUUUAAAAUUUUCCAUUUGCCUCUUUGCCUUUUUACCUGUAAAAUAUGCAAAGUAUUUCCAUUUUAAAAAGAUUCAUGUAUUCAAAUAACGUUUGCUGAGUAUCUAUUAUAUGCUAAACACUAAAGUUAGAAGUAUAGAAAAUAAAUUGUCCCUGACCUCAAGGAACUUACAGUCUAGAAAGUGAUUGGCAAACCUUUUCUGUAAAGGGGCAGAUAAUAUUUUUGGCUUUGCAGGCCAUGUAUUCUGUGUCACAACUAAUCUGCCAUUAGGGUGCAAAAGCAGCUAUAAAUCCUGAGCCCAUUUUAUUCAUCUGUCAAACACCUCAUCAUCACUAAGACUCUCAGACUGUUCGUAGGAAACAUUUCCUAACCAUGACAAGUAGAAAAAAAGCUCCUCCCUCUUCUGUGUUCUGCUAUAUUCAGUAUAGCUCUUUAUCAGGGAACCUCUAACUCUCUCCUGUGUCUGUUUUCUAUUUGUAAAAGGAGUCCAAGCAGAGAACACAGUCUCAGUAGAGCCAUAAAGACAUGGACUGUCCUGGGAUGUUUGCUAAACUGUCUGGCUAAAUCAGGUUUGGAGAAUGCCAAGCAUGGCAUGGAAGGGGUUCCUGCGCAAAUAAAGCAGCAGUUGCCAGAUUGAUGCUGACUCAGUGCUGUAAGGGUGUGACUUACACUUUCUUCAUCUUCCUGGGGAAACCUUGAAAUAUGCAAAGGCACACUCUGCUAGAGAAAACAGAAGCAAGACACCUGAUUAUCUUAUUUUCAGCCCUUGAAGAGUUUCUUAG